rnacentral:lncRNA from 1 species
UCCUCUCUUCCUCCUCCUGGCUCCCAACUUGUUUCUUCUUUCUUAUGUGCCAGUUGCUGUGCUGAGGAUAUGAAGCUAAAUAAGCCUCUCUCCUUUUCCUCAUGAAGCUCAAAAGCUUAGAUAGGAAGCAAAUAAAUAUAAUAUAGCAUGAUAAUUGCAAGAAUAUUAACAUGUCCAAAAGUUAAAGAGAGAAAGCAUAAAGAAGAAAGUGAUGAGCUCUGAGGGGUUGAGGCUUUUGCUCUCUCUUAAAUUGAUUGCUAUUUAGCACCCAUCAAAAGCUCUGCAGAGGGGACCAUCAUUAACGGCAUUUACGAAGACAUCCACUUAUUCCAACAGCAGGAGGAAGACCAACGCUUCUUAUCAUAAACACAAGUUCCUGCUAUACACAACACAUCCUUGAAUUCUAGGGAAGCCAAGAUGUACAUGAAAUGACUGCAGGUCUUAAAGGUCUUGAAUCUAAUUGUGGCACUGGGGCAUAUGUAGAGAUAAAUAUCACGUAGCAUAUGCUAAGGUGAUUUCGAAGAUCUAUUCUAUCUUAAGACACUGUAAGUCUAAUUAUUAAAUGAGCAAUACAGACAUUUAGUCAAAGUGUGUUCUGUUUUGAGGGAGCUG